ACAAUGGUUGCAUCCGGUCCGUUUAGAUUUGUUAUAAAAUAGAACAUGGGAUCCUCACCCCCUGAUAUAUUGGAGAAGAAAAAUGACUUAUACUGGGUCGUUUUGUUGUUGUUGAAUAUGAUAUUCUUUGGAAUGUUAACGUCUUGCUCCCUCUCAUCUCUGGUUUGAACUGAGACCAGGGAAGAUCCAAUGGUCUCCGAACCCGAGGCGUGGAAGAAAGGAUUCUUUUUAAAUUCUGUCAUCUGAGAGAGAAAUUGAUAAAAUAGAUUUAUAUC
rnacentral:sRNA from 1 species